AUGGGUACAUUUCCAUCCUUCAGCCAGAUGUACUUUUCCUUGCAGCAUAGACACGGUAUGCAGCCAGCCCGACGAUGGCCACUGCAGCUCCAACUGCAUCAGCAAAGCAAAACAGUUAAAAUGUACAUAAUUUUGUGUGCAGAAGUAACAUCAAUGAGUUAGUCAUUCAAACGAGGAUUGAUCAACAGAGAAGACCCUGAAAUUUAGUCAAAAGUGAUUUCCUACACAACAGUAGAAAUGUCUACCUGCACAAUGGCCCUUGCUAAUGCAAUGAAUAUAACUUCAUAAUUCCAAACCGGUUGUAUUCUAUGAUUCUAAUCCUUCACAAAAUUCCAUUUAUGAAACAAACUUGGUCCAAUUAUAGAAUCAAGUUAUAUCACCAAUAGCCAAAGAUAGCCAUUGAGCUUUGCAAGAACACAAUGGCUAUCUUCAAACUGACAAACUCCUAGAAUAUAAUAAAAUUUUCAGCAGUACUAUUAUAAAGAGGUAAAAACCUUAAAAUCGAGUAGACUAGUAGAGGGACAUGUACUACCACACCUUAGUGACUGGCAACAUACAAUUAUAGUUUUGACAAUAAUAAUAGGAGAAUAGAAACUCAAAAUUCCAAUUCCCUGAGUGAGAAAGUCUUCCAAAGACUGAUGAAAUUCCAAAAUUCAAGUGCUUUAGGCAUACCUGAAACAAACAUAAGAG
rnacentral:misc_RNA from 1 species